UACGUAGGGGGCAAGCGUUGUCCGGAUUUAUUGGGCGUAAAGAGCGUGUAGGCGGCCAGACAGGUCCGUUGUGAAAACUCGAGGCUCAACCUCGAGACGUCGAUGGAAACCGUCUGGCUAGAGUCCGGAAGAGGAGAGUGGAAUUCCUGGUGUAGCGGUGAAAUGCGCAGAUAUCAGGAAGAACACCUAUGGCGAAGGCAGCUCUCUGGGACGGUACUGACGCUGAGACGCGAAAGCGUGGGGAGCGAACGGG
rnacentral:rRNA from 1 species